ACAAUUUUAAUUUAAUAUUAGUCAUAGUAUGAAGAAAUAACACAUGUGGAGUUGAUUCAAACAUAUAAAAGUCCUGGUGUGUUAAUACAGUACAACACUACAAUACUGAGACUCAUCUGUACAGCAUCUCCAACAAGCACCUCAACCGAUCGUCUGGUAACAAUGUCACAGCAGAGAGAGAUGAAGGGCUCAGCUAAACCAACUCAAUACAUUCCUAAAUGCCCACCUCAGGAUCAAACUAAACCUCCAUCUCAGUGCAUUCCUAAAUGCCCACCUCAGGAUCAAACUAAACCUCCAUCUCAGUGCAUUCCUAAAUGCCCACCUCAGGAUCAAACUAAACCUCCAUCUCAGUGCAUUCCUAAAUGCCCACCUCAGGAUCAAACUAAACCUCCAUCUCAGUGCAUUCCUAAAUGCCCACCUCAGGAUCAAACUAAACCUCCAUCUCAGUGCAUUCCUAAAUGCCCACCUCAGGAUCAAACUAAACCUCCAUCUCAGUGCAUUCCUAAAUGCCCACCUCAGGAUCAAACUAAACCUCCAUCUCAGUGCAUUCCUAAAUGCCCACCUCAGGAUCAAACUAAACCUCCAUCUCAGUGCAUUCCUAAAUGCCCACCUCAGGAUCAAACUAAACACCCAUCUCAAGGCCCUAAAUGCUUACCUUAAGAAGAUAUUAAAGUAAAGAGAGUGAAACUGUAAAGGAAUAUAUCAGAAAAAAUGAGCUAUCUAUGUAUCCUCUUUACAGCAAACCUAAACCCAAAUUAAUAACAUAUGUUAAAUACGCUAUAUUUUAAUAUUUCAUAUCUUUGCUUUACUGGACAUGCAUGUAAAUGGUGGUGGGAGUUGGAGCUGUAAGUCGGCACAAACACGUGCUUGACCCGAAUGAUCCACUUAUUGAAAAUCAUACGUGGAAAUGUUUUACUGAUUAAUAAAACACUGUAACACUUAUAUAGCUUAUAAAACUAAUAAAGCUUCCUCGAUGAAAACUUUCA